GACGAACGCUGGCGGCGUGCCUAACACAUGCAAGUCGAACGGAAAGGCACUGCUUUCGUGGGGUUACCGAGUGGCGAACGGGUGAGUAACACGUGAGUAUCCUGACCUUCACUUUGGGAUAACUUCAGGAAACUGGGGCUACUACCGGAUAGCAGCUCCCGCUGCAUGGUGGGCGUUGGAAAUUCUCGGCUGGUGGGGAUGGACGCGCGGAUUAUCAGCUUGUUGGUUGGGGAGUGGCUGACCAAGGCUUUGACGGGUAGCCGGCAGGAGAGGGGGGCCGGCGACAUGGGGACUGAGGUACGGAGCAGACGCCUACAGGAGACAACGGUGGGGAGUAUGGCACAGUGGGCGGGAGCCUGAGGCGGCGACGCCGCGUGCGGGAUGACGGCCUUCGGGGUGUGAACCGCUGUAGCCUGUGACGAAGCGUGAGUGACGGUAAUGGGUAAAGAAGCACCGGCUAACUACGUG
rnacentral:rRNA from 1 species